AGUGAACGCUGGCGGUAGGCCUAACACAUGCAAGUCGAACGGCAGCACAGUAAGAGCUUGCUCUUACGGGUGGCGAGUGGCGGACGGGUGAGGAAUACAUCGGAAUCUACUUUUUCGUGGGGGAUAUCGUAGGGAAACUUACGCUAAUACCGCAUACGACCUACGGGUGAAAGCAGGGGAUCUUCGGACCUUGCGCGAUUGAAUGAGCCGAUGUCGGAUUAGCUAGUUGGCAGGGUAAAGGCCCACCAAGGCGACGAUCCGUAGCUGGUCUGAGAGGAUGAUCAGCCACACUGGAACUGAGACACGGUCCAGACUCCUACGGGAGGCAGCAGUGGGGAAUAUUGCACAAAGGGCGAAAGCCUGAUCGAGCAAUGCCGCGUGGGUGAAGAAGGUCUUCGGGUUGUAAAGCCCUUUUGUUGGGAAAGAAAAGAAGUAGGUUAAUCCCUGGCUGUUUUGACGGUACCCAAAGAAUAAGCCCCGGCUAACUUCGUG
rnacentral:rRNA from 1 species